CCUACGGGCGGCAGCAGUAGGGAAUAUUGCUCAAUGGGGGAAACCCUGAAGCAGCAACGCCGCGUGGAGGAUGAAGGUUUUCGGAUUGUAAACUCCUUUUGUUAGAGAAGAUAAUGACGGUAUCUAACGAAUAAGCACCGGCUAACUCCGUGCCAGCAGCCGCGGUAAUACGGAGGGUGCAAGCGUUACUCGGAAGCACUGGGCGGAAAGAGCGCGUAGGCGGGAUAGCAAGUCAGAUGUGAAAUCCUAUGGCUUAACCAUAGAACUGCAUUUGAAACUGUUAUUCUAGAGUAUGGGAGAGGUAAGUGGAAUUCUUGGUGUAGGGGUAAAAUCCGUAGAGAUCAAGAGGAAUACUCAUUGCGAAGGCGACCUGCUAGAACAUAACUGACGCUGAUGCGCGAAAGCGUGGGGAGCAAACAGGAUUAGAUACCCUUGUAGUC
rnacentral:rRNA from 1 species